rnacentral:rRNA from 1 species
GCUAAUACCGGAUAACAACAGAUGAUGCCUAUCAACUGUUUAAAAGAAUGGUUCUGCUAUCACUCUUGGAUGGACCUGCGGUGCAUUAGCUAGUUGGUAGGGUAACGGCCUACCAAGGCGAUGAUGCAUAGCCGAGUUGAGAGACUGAUCGGCCACAUUGGGACUGAGACACGGCCCAAACUCCUACGGGAGGCAGCAGUUU